rnacentral:rRNA from 1 species
UACGAAGGGGGCUAGCGUUGCUCGGAAUCACUGGGCGUAAAGGGUGCGUAGGCGGGUCUUUAAGUCAGGGGUGAAAUCCUGGAGCUCAACUCCAGAACUGCCUUUGAUACUGAGGAUCUUGAGUUCGGGAGAGGUGAGUGGAACUGCGAGUGUAGAGGUGAAAUUCGUAGAUAUUCGCAAGAACACCAGUGGCGAAGGCGGCCAUCUGGGACAACACUGACGCUGAGGCACGAAAGCGUGGGGAGCAAACAGGG